rnacentral:rRNA from 2 species
UAAGGGGGGAGCUUAAAUGCAGUCGAACGAUGAAGACCGUGCUUGCACGGUUGGAUUAGUGGCGAACGGGUGAGUAUCACGUGAGUAACCUUCCCUUAACUCUGGGAUAAGCCCGGGAAACUGGGUCUAAUACCGGAUACGACCAGUCCUCGCAUGGGGUGCUGGUGGAAAGAUUUAUCGGUUUUGGAUGGACUCGCGGCCUAUCAGCUUGUUGGUGAGGUAAAGGCUCACCAAGGCGAUGACGGGUAGCCGGCCUGAGAGGGUGACCGGCCACACUGGGACUGAGACACGGCCCAGACUCCUACGGGAGGCAGCAGUGGGGAAUAUUGCACAAUGGGCGAAAGCCUGAUGCAGCGACGCCGCGUGCGGGAUGACGGCCUUCGGGUUGUAAACCGCUUUCAGCAGGGAAGAAGCGAAAGUGACGGUACCUGCAGAAGAAGCGCCGGCUAACUACGUGCCAGCAGCCGCGGUAAUACGUAGGGCGCGAGCGUUAUCCGGAAUUAUUGGGCGUAAAGAGCUCGUAGGCGGUUUGUCACGUCUGCUGUGAAAGCCCGGGGCUCAACCCCGGGUGUGCAGUGGGUACGGGCAGACUAGAGUGCAGUAGGGGAGACUGGAAUUCCUGGUGUAGCGGUGAAAUGCGCAGAUAUCAGGAGGAACACCGAUGGCGAAGGCAGGUCUCUGGGCUGUUACUGACGCUGAGGAGCGAAAGCAUGGGGAGCGAACAGGAUUAGAUACCCUGGUAGUCCAUGCCGUAAACGUUGGGCACUAGGUGUGGGGAACAUUCCACGUUUUCCGCGCCGUAGCUAACGCAUUAAGUGCCCCGCCUGGGGAGUACGGCCGCAAGGCUAAAACUCAAAGGAAUUGACGGGGGCCCGCACAAGCGGCGGAGCAUGCGGAUUAAUUCGAUGCAACGCGAAGAACCUUACCAAGGCUUGACAUGGACCGGACCGCUGCAGAGAUGCAGUUUCCCUUCGGGGUCGGUUCACAGGUGGUGCAUGGUUGUCGUCAGCUCGUGUCGUGAGAUGUUGGGUUAAGUCCCGCAACGAGCGCAACCCCUAUCCUAUGUUGCCAGCACGUUAUGGUGGGGACUCAUGGGAGACUGCCGGGGUCAACUCGGAGGAAGGUGGGGACGACGUCAAAUCAUCAUGCCCCUUAUGUCUUGGGCUUCACGCAUGCUACAAUGGCCGGUACAAUGGGUUGCGAUACUGUGAGGUGGAGCUAAUCCCUAAAAGCCGGUCUCAGUUCGGAUCGAAGUCUGCAACUCGACUUCGUGAAGUUGGAGUCGCUAGUAAUCGCAGAUCAGCAACGCUGCGGUGAAUACGUUCCCGGGCCUUGUACACACCGCCCGUCAAGUCACGAAAGUGGGUAACACCCGAAGCCGGUGGCCUAACCCUUGUGGGGGGAGCCGUGAAGGGGACCUAG